rnacentral:sRNA from 1 species
GGGGUCUCCCGGCGAAGCGCGGGUGACGUGGUGCUGAGGAAAGCGGCCUGAGGAGGAGGGUGGCCCUUGGGAAGAAGAACUACUUGUGUUUUUGCAGCCUGGGAACCCUGGUGGCAGGAUUUCUGCUGUGAUUGGGUUAUUAUACCCCUGCAUUGACAGACAUCUAGGAGAACCACAUAAAUUUAAAAGAGAGUGGUCCAGUGUAAUGCGGUGUGUAGCAGUCUUUGUUGGUAUAAAUCAUGCCAGUGCUAAAGUGGAUUUUGAUAACAACAUACAGUUGUCUCUCACACUGGCUGCACUAUCCAUUGGACUGUGGUGGACUUUUGAUAGAUCUAGAAGUGGUUUUGGCCUUGGAGUAGGAAUUGCCUUCUUGGCAACUGUGGUCACUCAACUGCUAGUAUAUAAUGGUGUUUAUCAAUAUACAUCUCCAGAUUUCCUCUAUGUUCGUUCUUGGUUACCAUGUAUAUUUUUUGCUGGAGGCAUAACAAUGGGAAACAUUGGUCGACAACUGGCAAUGUACGAAUGUAAAGUUAUCGCAGAAAAAUCUCAUCAGGAAUGAAGAAGGCAAAAAAUAUCUUUUGUACAGAAAAGCAAGAUGAAAAGGAUGUGAAAUGGUAGAUAUACCAA